UACAGACUGCCAGAAAACAAAUUUCAGGCAUCCUCCUUUAAAUUCAAAGCACCUGGAAGCACCAAACUUACUCUUAUUUUGAAGGUUCCAUUUUUCAUUCAUUUUUUCCUGGCUGUCACAUGAGACUGAGUUUAUACAUUAAUAAAGAGUAACAUUUAGCUCUGUGAAAUGGUUACAGAAGGUGUUUUUAAUUAAUCUUCAGGACAUCUUAGGUUUUAGGAAGUGGCUUUUGGCAGCUGUCCCUUUGACUCCUUCCUUUACUCCUCAGCCACCACUGAAUGCCCCACUUCUCUGCUCUUACACCCAGCAGGUGGGAAGAUGAGCAGGCAAGGAGGUGCUGGGGCCAUGGCCAGGUCCUGGCGGUUGUAACAGCGUCAGAGGGAAGGCAAAAUGAAGGGUGGAACAUUCCUCCCACCCUGCCUGUAGCCGGCACGUGUCCACGCAGCCUGAAGUGAAUCUCUUGGUGGGAGGCAACACUGUGAGAGCGGGGCCUUGGAGGAAAUGUCCUGAAAGUCACCUGCUGAGAAGGCAGAGCACUGCCAAGUCGGUCACAGCCACUUGAUGUUGCGUACCAUGGGACAGCGGCUGACAGCGAGGUGUGGGCAGCUGCAUCUGAUGAACAGUAGGAGUUUAUUGAGUUGGCAUUUGAUUGUUGGCCCGUGUUUGGCAGAUGUCUGCAGCAACGCAUAACGUGAGGGUUGGGCAGGCACAUUGACAGUACAUGCUCCUAUGUACCCUUGUAUCUACUGAAUCACAGACUCACAGAGUGGUUUGAGUUGAAAGGAACUUUAAAGGCCAUCCAGUUCCAGCCUGUGCCAUGGGCAGUGACAGCCCCCACUACACAAUGGUACCCAAACGUGAAGGUGGAAUCCAACUAACUCACCUUGCCUUUCUUAUCAUGAAGCCAAGUGUUCGUCCACAAUACAUUUCCACUGUUCCAAUGAAGUUAAAGACCUGCACUACUUAUGGCUGUUGAGCAUUCUCUCCUGAUGCUCUUUGAAAGCACUGAGCUCCCAGGAGCUGAGCUGCAGGAUGGGCUCGGGGCAGCGAUGAGACGCACAGAGGCAUCUCAUUGAGCAUAUGGGAGGAAAUGAGAAGUGAUCUCAUUUCUUCCCAUGGAGUUUAGAAGUAAGAAAGACAGCAAAAGUGACUUGAAUGUCUUAAAAUGCCUCUCUCCACAUCCAGAAGAAUACAGUCGCAGCAAAGUCAUUUUAUAAGAGAGCCCUAGCGGAUACAAGUGAUACGGCAACUCUUAUAACACUCUAAAACAUCUAUAAAAUUAAUUAUACAUGUUAUCAAAAUGAUUCAUACCAGCCGUGGUAAAUCCCAUUCUUUACAAGUGAGAGUUUAAGUCACAGUUCGCUGCCUCUUAACAGCUGCACAAAUAGAGCGCACUGUCGCCAUGGGGUUGAAAAAGGGAUAGCAUGUCACCUUUCAAAUUUCAUAAGAAUGUGAGAUGUAAUUGCACGCUUCGAGACAGAGGCAGUACUUCUGGGAUCUGUAACCCAGCUCAGUUGUCAGAGACAGGAAAGCAAAUAAGCAGAACAUAAAAAAGCCUCCCAUGUUAAGAGAUGGCUUUAACCGCAGAGGCUUUCCGAUCAGACCUGUUUCCUCGCCAUCCUUCUUAUUUUCCCAUAACUUGAAGAAUAACAGGGUCCGGCCCAGGUCUUCAGAUGCCACCAACCCUGGUGGAGAAAUUGCAUUUGCUUGGUGAAUGUUCCAGUCUGUUCCUACUAAAGAGCAAGAAAUCGCAGCUCUGGAAACUCUGGGAGGGAUCCAUGGAGUCCUGGCUGUACAUCCUAGAAGUUCUACGUUGUUUAUAGCUAUUUCUUUUUUUUUAAGUUUCUUAUGUUAACCUUUGGGAUAUCUGGGACAUAUGGAUUGGUGCACUGAAGCACAUUUUUAAGAACUGAAAUAAAGGAUUUCUUUUUUUUUUUUUGUCAGUUUUCACUUUAUUUUGUAACCUCUGCUGUAUGCAGAAUAAACACUUGUGUAAUAUAGAAGUCUCACCUGAAUUGUAACUUUUUGUGUUUGAGUUGGAAGGGACCAUU
ensembl:lncRNA